GUAUCUCUGCUUUUUCCUCUUGAUUUAUGCAGAAGUUGACAAAAGUGCUACUAAUUCAAAAGGAUGCGAAGAACUAGAAACUCUAGUGAUGAGCUGUCUGGGUCACAAUGAUGCUACAUAAUGGAUUUCCUUGAGAAGGCUGUCCACAGUGCCAGCAGGGAAGGGGCACAGCAUAGAUGCCAAUGGUUGUUUCCUGCAAAGAAGAGCAACACAGAGCCAAGACAGAAGGCAAUCUCUGCUGCAUGCUGAUCAGAAUGUAAUUGGAGAAGGAUUUCUCGCAGUCCACCUCUGAAAUGAAACACGACACAACCCUUCCAGUUUCGGAUUGCAGGACUGACCAGCAUACAUGCCUUCAUCAUGGAGACAGAUGAAUUCUACCUCCCUCUGGUCCUUCAGUGUUGGUGAGCAUUAAAAAGUCACUCCUUGUGUACUCCUCCCCAUUACUGUGCCUUGUUUAAGAGUGCAAACUGAUACAGCCUUUCCACAAGGCAUCCUGCCUUCCUACAUCCCUGGAGAUUGUCCAGGGACCUGAAGAUUAGAAGGACAAAGCAGUGUGACUCCUCCAUGAGCCACAGCAAAAUGAGUCUGUAGCCAGAACAGAUCAUCUAUAGGUUUUAGCAGGCAGAUUCAACACUGAAGAACAGCUCUUUCUGUUUCCCAUUGAUGACAAAGCCUCCACAUUCACCUAAAUGAUUUGUUCUGUCCCAACCUCACCGAGGUCCUACAAAUUCAUCCUCCACACGGUCAGGAUAGAAACAAAGAUGAGUUUGAGAAGUUUGUUUAGUCUAGGGAGA